rnacentral:rRNA from 1 species
UACGUAGGGUGCGAGCGUUAAUCGGAAUUACUGGGCGUAAAGCGUGCGCAGGCGGUUUUGUAAGCCAGAUGUGAAAUCCCCGGGCUCAACCUGGGAAUGGCAUUUGGGACUGCAAGGCUGGAGUACGGCAGAGGAGACUGGAAUUCCUGGUGUAGCAGUGAAAUGCGUAGAUAUCAGGAGGAAUACCGAUGGCGAAGGCAGGUCUCUGGGCUGAUACUGACGCUCAUGCACGAAAGCGUGGGGAUCAAACAGG